GUCUGAAGAUAUACUUCGACGAUGCUUGAGAGAGACGAAGAAAAAACACAAGAUGCAUGCAGCAGACCCGCCACAAUCUACUUCAACUCAAAUGGUGGAAUAGACUGAACAAUUUCAUUCAGUCGGGAAAUUUGCAAGGACCAAACAGGUUCGUCCAGGGCAUUUUUAAAGACAUCGCAUCUACAGGGGUAAAUAUUCGUUUACGACCUUUUCCCUAUGCAGAUAAUUGAGACAUUAAGACCAUUGAUUUCUGUGAUGACUUAAUUUAUAAGAUGAGAUGUCGAAGAGUCAUGAUAAUUAUAACAAGAAUGUUACAAGGUUGAUGACAUUUAACAAAUAUAAAACAUUUUCCGUGUUGAUGUACAGUUAUAUCAACACGAGUGGAAUUGGGAAAACGAGAAAUUGUAUGGAAACACGACGCUCGAAGGGCGGAGUGUUUUCAUACAAUUUCGAGUUUUCCCAACUUCCACGAGUGUUGAUAUAACUAUAUAUCAAUACGGAAAAAAUGUUUUAUAUUUUUUUUAUAAUAUAGCAAUGUCAAAAGCCCGAAGGAUAAGAAAAAUUUCCGUGUUUGCAAGCGGCGGAAAAUUUCCUGUGUUGACAUUGAGUUAUAUCAACACGGCUCUUAGCCAAUCAGCGUUCAGAAUUUACAAAUGCUAUAUUAUAAAAGGUUAUAACAAUAUUUGUUAUACCAUGACUGUGUCAGACUGGUUGUUGGAACAAUCAAUGUUGCAACAAGUCUGAUAAUAUCAACAAGGUUGUUACAACUGUUAACAAGUUGUUUUAUACUUGUUGGCUACUAAUUAGGACAAGCAACUAUUUAUUUAUUUCCAUCUAUUUAUUUAUUAAAAAUUAUUUUAAAACGGU